rnacentral:rRNA from 1 species
AACGAACGCUGGCGGCAGGCUUAACACAUGCAAGUCGAGCGCCCCGCAAGGGGAGCGGCAGACGGGUGAGUAACGCGUGGGAAUCUACCCAUCUCUACGGAAUAACGCAUGGAAACGUGUGCUAAUACCGUAUACGUCCUUCGGGAGAAAGAUUUAUCGGGGAUGGAUGAGCCCGCGUUGGAUUAGCUAGUUGGUGGGGUAAAGGCCAACCAAGGCGACGAUCCAUAGCUGGUCGGAGAGGAUGAUCAGCCACACUGGGACUGAGACACGGCCCAGACUCCUACGGGAGGCAGCAGUGGGGAAUAUUGGACAAUGGGCGCAAGCCUGAUCCAGCCAUGCCGCGUGAGUGAUGAAGGCCCUAGGGUUGUAAAGCUCUUUCACCGGUGAAGAUAAUGACGGUAACCGGAGAAGAAGCCCCGGCUAACUUCGUGCCAGCAGCCGCCGUAACAC